rnacentral:tRNA from 1 species
GGAGGUGUGGCAGAGUGGUCGAUUGCACCAGUCUUGAAAACUGGCAAAGGGCAACCUUUCGUGAGUUCGAAUCUCACCGCCUCCGCCA